rnacentral:ncRNA from 1 species
GGUUCAUCGAGAGUGGCGGAGGGACUGGCCCCAUGAUGCCACGGCAACCUCUCCCGCAGGGGAGAACGGUGCCAAAUCCAGCGGACACUCGGUCCGAGAGAUGAAGC